rnacentral:sRNA from 1 species
CAACUGUGUGGGGCUGCUGGGGGUUUGGAGAAUGGUCUUAACUACAUAGACCUGGAUUUGGUCAAGGACUUCAAACAGUGCCCUCAGGAGUGCACCCCUGAACCGCAGCCUCCCCCACCCCCACCCCCUCAUCAACCCCUGGGCAGCGGUGAGAGCAGCUCCACCCGCCGCUCAAGUGAGGAUUUAAGCGCCUAUGCCAGCAUCAGUUUCCAGAAGCAGCCAGAGGACCGUCAGUAGCUCAACUGGACAUCACAGCAGAAUUUCGCAGUACUUGUGGCCCACUCUCUGCAGAGAGUAAAUUGAGAGCCCAAGAAGCAGGGCAAAAAGAGCCUCUCAGACUCGGUCAUAGCAGCCCUGCCACCUUUACCCGGCAUCAAAUUUAUCUUUUAGUUUUGAAACUGCAGCUGACAAAGACACAGACCCCAGCCAUGCCUUUUGGGUUCAGUUUUUUUGUUUUUGUCAUUCUUUGUUAUGCCCUCCCCCUUUAAAAGAAAAAAGAAAAAGAA